GACGAACGCUGGCGGCGUGCUUAACACAUGCAAGUCGAACGGAAAGGCCCUGCUUUUGUGGGGUGCUCGAGUGGCGAACGGGUGAGUAACACGUGAGUAACCUGCCCUUGACUUUGGGAUAACUUCAGGAAACUGGGGCUAAUACCGGAUAGGAGCUCCUGCUGCAUGGUGGGGGUUGGAAAGUUUCGGCGGUUGGGGAUGGACUCGCGGCUUAUCAGCUUGUUGGUGGGGUAGUGGCUUACCAAGGCUUUGACGGGUAGCCGGCCUGAGAGGGUGACCGGCCACAUUGGGACUGAGAUACGGCCCAGUCUCCUACGGGAGGCAGCAGUGGGGAAUAUUGCACAAUGGGCCGAAGCCUGAUGCAGCAACGCCGCGUGCGUGAUGACGGCCUUCGGGUUGUAAACCGCUUUCGCCUGUGACGAAGCGUGAGUGACGGUAAUGGGUAAAGAAGCACCGGCUAACUACGUG
rnacentral:rRNA from 1 species